rnacentral:rRNA from 1 species
AGGAUUAACGCUGGCGGCGUGCCUAACGACGAUGCAAGUCGAACGAGGUAGCAAUACCUAGUGGCAGACGGGUGAGUAGCGCGUGGUCAACCUACCGUUGAGUGGGGGAUAACUAGCCGAAAGGUUAGCUAAUACCGCAUACGUCUCCGAGGGGCAUCCCUUGGUGAUAAAAGGAGCAAUCCGCUCGAUGACGGGACCGCGUCCCAUUAGCUAGUUGGUGGGGUAACGGCCUACCAAGGCAUCGAUGGGUAGCUGGUUUGAGAGAGCGACCAGCCACACUGGGACUGAGAUACGGCCCAGACUCCUACGGGAGGCAGCAGUGAGGAAUUUUCCGCAAUGGGCGAAAGCCUGACGGAGCGACGCCGCGUGUGGGAAGAAGGCCUUCGGGUCGUAAACCACUGUCGAAGGGGAAGAUAAUGACGGUACCCUUGGAGGAAGCCCCGGCUAACUACGUGCCAGCAGCCGC